GCCUUGAUGGCUCAGUUGGCUAGAGCGCAGGUCUCAUACACUUGUAUGACUGGAAUUGGAUUCCAGGCAAUCCUGAGGUCGCAAGUUCGAGCCUUGCUCAGGGCA
rfam:Paxillus rubicundulus Ve08.2h10 scaffold_93_c1, whole genome shotgun sequence.